rnacentral:rRNA from 1 species
UACGUAGGGUGCAAGCGUUAAUCGGAAUUACUGGGCGUAAAGCGUGCGCAGGCGGUUUUGUAAGCCAGAUGUGAAAUCCCCGGGCUCAACCUGGGAAUUGCGAUGGAGACUGCAAGGCUAGAAUCUGGCAGAGGGGGGUAGAAUUCCACGUGUAGCAGUGAAAUGCGUAGAGAUGUGGAGGAACACCGAUGGCGAAGGCAGCCCCCUGGGUCAAGAUUGACGCUCAUGCACGAAAGGCGUGGGGAGCAAACGAGG